ensembl:lncRNA
ACAGCAGCUUUCUUCUGCCACAGUGCAGUCAUGGCCUGUUCAUCUCCAGUCUUGUAUAGUCUCCUGACAUUCCCUAAGAACUGAAGAACACUUGAAGAGGCAAAGUGUCUUGACUAAGCCUCCAUGACUAGUAAGUUAAUGACGAUGGACUGAUCCAAUGCCUGAAGAGCAGUUCCACUUCCCUUCCUGUGAAUGAACUCAGAAACUAAAUUAUAAGUCUUCAGACUCUUCGACAAGGGCCUCAGGCCCUUUUAAAUAAAUAUCUCUAGUUCGGAAAUGAAAACUUUGAAUUGAUCAGGAAACAUUUUUCAUUAGAAACCCUCAGAAGAAGAAGAAGAAGACCUCGAAAGACUUGCCUGAGCCUUGAGCCCGAAGAGAUUAUGAUGGGGCAACAAGAGUCCGCUUGUCCUGAAGGUGCUUGAUACAUGAUCUCAAAAAGCUGGCGUUGUUUUGAUAAAUGCUCACCAAGCAUCUAUAGCAUCAGGGUCUGCUGCUGUGUCUCAGUGCCGAGGCUUGGGGGAGAGUGGUCUCGCACAGAGCAGACAAACUUCAAAAGCUUAGAUCUCAUUUAUCUUUGGCAGGAGCUAAGAAGUUAGUUAUCCACAGGUGCUGAGUAUAACUCAUUGUUAUUCCAAACUGGAAACCACCACCAUUACAAGGAACAAAGGCUGACUUUACCACUGUCAGUAACUAAAAUGAAGAGUGUUACAUCGGACCAGGAGGCCCUUCCUUAACCCGGUCUUUUCUAUCUGAAAACAUUCAGGAUGGGGAUAUGCUGUGGGAUGUUCCUGUGAGGUCUGCCCCUUUCCUUUGGCAUUCUGUUUGAAUUCAAAGAUGCAAAGGCAUCUUUCUAGCCUUCCAAAUUAGGCUGUGAUGGAGACAAAAGCCCUGAGAGGAAUAUGCAGCUCUUACCUGCCAGGUAACAAGCAAGCAAACUACACUAAUGGAUUUGUCUAAAGGUUUCCUGGGACAUUUCUAUUGUAGAGAGGUGCUUCUCUUUAGUCAGGGAGGUGGGUGUCCAUUCUGAUCCUCUUUCUGAAAGGGAAAAGGACUCUAGUUCUGUCUUCAGCUGACAGGCAGUCCCAGCACUUGAAGAGGGGUGAAAUAUACAAAUCAAUGUCAGAAGUGAAAUGUAGCCAUUCUUCCUGAAGAGCACCAGGGACCAGCCCACCGACAGCUCAUUUAGAAGUGUCUUAUGGGUAAACUUCAUGGUGUUGAGACACCUAAUCACAUGUCCUGGUAAGGAAUCAACCUUGCAUUUUGUGACCUUUGACAAGACAUUCCACUAGCCUGGUCCUCACUGUCUUUAGGCUCCACAUGUUCAUCGGUUCUUCCGGGAGCUGCUUUGAUCUCUGGUCUAGACUUACAGACCUUGCAUUUUAAAAAGAGUCAUUGAUCUAGUAACCUAAAAACCUGAUUGUACUUUACUUCCCAAGCAACUGAAAGUAUAAAGGAAGGGCAGCUUACUCACUGUGAGGAAUGUCCCAGAGACAUUUAAUUACAGCAUCUGGGGAUGUGUCACUCAACCAUUGCUGGUUCAAGUUGUGGUCAGCUGCUUUAUUCAGUCAUUUGUCAUCUUCCUAACUUCCCGGCCUGUAAUUAUCUCAGCCCACCCCACCAGUUUGCGUGAGGGAAGUCUUCUGCCCUCUGAAUGUAAACCCUAAGGUAAACUUGUGCCUUCCCAGGCUUUACACUUGAAUUCUCUUGCAUCUAAAAAUGUUUCUGUUCAUGGAAGUUUGUUGCUUGAUUACUUCUAUUAAUUUAAGAGUCACAGAUUUUUGGGGCUGAGGAUAAAUGUUGAGAUUAUCCAGUGACAUCUCUGUUUCAACUUAAAACUGAAAACAGGAAAAGUAGGCAUUUUGCAAAGUCUACUACAGCAGCUUGGUAACAGGGUCAUGCUAUUUCAUAAAAGUGCGACGUCCUUGACUUAAAUAGUUCCGUGACCUCCAACCACACCGAGGUCAGAAGGCUCUGACUUAGCCAGAAAGCAGAUCUCACUAGAGAGAGAUUUGGGCACAGUCACCUGGAUUCAGAAAUGCCCCACCUGAGCAUUUCUGUAAGAUGGGCUGCCAGCUAAAGACAGUCACAGGAAAGGAAGAACAAUGACAGAGUUGGGGGCAUCGAGUCUCUUUAUGGUUUGAUGGAAGGCAGAUUCUAAGUGUGAGUCAAAGUAGCAGAGUCUUAGCUGGAUUAAAUGAUGUCUGAACGUUUUCAAACACUAACAUUCUAGCUUCUACACAAUGUACUUUUUGCCCAAAUCACGACCUUGUUGUUUUUUCUUAAGGUAGACGUGGACAGCAUUAUUAAAGUUUGCUUCACUUAAAAAGGCAA